rnacentral:tRNA from 1 species
GCUCUUAUAGUGUAAUGGAUAGCACACGAUCGUUCUAAGGUCGGUAGUCUGGGUUCGAGUCCUAGUAGGAGCACCA